UACGUAGGGUGCGAGCGUUGUCCGGAAUUAUUGGGCGUAAAGGGCUCGUAGGCGGUUUGUCGCGUCGGGAGUGAAAACGCCGUGCUUAACACGGCGCUUGCUUUCGAUACGGGCAGACUAGAGGUAUUCAGGGGAGAACGGAAUUCCUGGUGUAGCGGUGAAAUGCGCAGAUAUCGGGAGGAACACCGGUGGCGAAGGCGGUUCUCUGGGCCUGUUCUGACGCUGAGGAGCGAAAGCGUGGGGAGCAAACAGG
rnacentral:rRNA from 1 species